rnacentral:rRNA from 1 species
CUACCCGGGUAUCUAAUCCCCUUCGCUCCCCUAGCUUUCGUACCUCAGCGUCAGAAAAGACCCAGUAAGCCGCUUUCGCCACCGGUGUUCCUGAUGAUAUCAACGCAUUUCACCGCUCCACCAUCAGUUCCGCUUACCUCUGUCUCCCUCAAGCACUGCAGUAUCGGACGCAAUUCCUCGGUUGAGCCGAGGGCUUUCACACCCGACUAACAGCGCCGCCUACGUACCCUUUAAGCCCAGUGAUUCCGAAUAACGUUUGGACGGUUCGUAUUACCGCGGCUGCUGGCAC